CAAGGAAUUUUCGUCAAUGGGCGUAAGCCUGAACGAGCAACGCCGCGUGGGGGAUGACGGCCUUCGGGUUGUAAACCCCUUUUGCGUGGGACGAUAAUGACGGUACCACGUGAAUAAGCCCCGGCUAACUCCGUGCCAGCAGCCGCGGUAAGACGGAGGGGGCAAGCGUUGUCCGGACUCACUGGGCGUAAAGGGUGCGCAGGCGGCAGAGCGCGUCCGCGCUGAAAUCUGUUGGCUUAACUGACAGGCGCGUGCGGAUACGGCUCAGCUCGAGGCACGGAGAGGGUGGGGGAACUCCUGGUGUAGUGGUGAAAUGCGUAGAGAUCAGGAAGAACACCCGUGGCGCAAGCGCCCACCUGGCCGUGACCUGACGCUGCGGCACGAAAGCGUGGGGAGCGAA
rnacentral:rRNA from 1 species